UACAUACCAGCUGACGUCACAGACCUACAGGCCAAGUACCAUAGAGAGAGCAAGUUGGCAGACAUAGAGGCCACAAUAGCCUACUUCGAUGCGAAAGCAAAGGAAGAUCCAGAUUUCUUCUACAGGAUAAGGUUGGACGAUGAGGACCGUGUCAGGAACAUGUAUUGGGUGGAUGGUGCUGCAAGGAGAGCCUACAAACAUUUCCGAGAUUGCAUUUCAUUCGACGCGACGUACCUCACCAAUAUGUACAAGAUGCCAUGCGCUCCGUUCAUAGGAAUAAAUAACCACAAUCAGUCGUUGCAGUUCGGAUGCGGCCUCGUCCGGAACGAAGACACAGAUGGGUACGUUUGGCUGUUCAAGACCUUCUUGGAGUGCAUGGAUGGACUUGCUCCGAUGAACAUAAUAACGGACCAAGAUUUCAGCAUGCGUGCAGGCAUAGAGGAGGUCUUUCCGUUGGCAGUGCACAAGCACUGCAGGUGGCACAUUAUAAAGAAGGCUGAGGAGAUGCUAGGACCGUUCUUUGCCGACCGUCCAGAGCUGCACAAGGCAUUCGAGCUGUGCGUGGACCACAGCUUGACGGUGGAGGAGUUUGAAAGGAGCUGGAUGGCCAUGACUGAAACACAUCAAGUCCAGGACAACGAGACUCUUGUUAGCCUGUGGGAGAAGCGAAUGUACUGGGUGCCUGCCUACUUCAUGCAGUGCUUCUUCCCCUUUCUGCAGACUACACAGCGCAGCGAGGGGUUCAAUGCUGUUUUAAAGCGGUACGUCAGCCCUGGCAACUCAUUGCUACAGUUUGCCAAGCAGUACACAGCUUUGCAACAAAAAAUUCUGGGAUCUGAGCUACAGCAAGAAGCGACCAUAGCCCUAAAGCAGCCAAAAUUGCUAACGUAUUUACCGAUGGAGAGGCAAAUGAGCAAGAUAUACACCAACAAGAUCUUUAACAAGUAA
rnacentral:rRNA from 1 species